GUUUCUCAAACCGUCCCUUCCCAUUUAUGCUGCAUCCGCGCCCUGAAUCUGAAAUUGGUCGUCCUGCCACGCCGCCUCCCCGCGGUAUAAGGUCGUCCCAUCCUGAAUGGCCGGUGCGCAGACUCAAUUGCGACUUUGAGGCUGUCAGCCGCCACCCGGCAACCUUCCAGUGAACAGGAUUCUGGGUUUCUCAAAGCUGUAAUUGGAGGGCCACUCCAGAGGUGUUAAAGCUCCCUCACUUCCAGCCUGCCUCGUGGGAAGGUCUUAGGCUAAGUCUGUAGGUGCCUGCAGUUAAGAAGCCAGCGGUCUGCAUAUGAUUGCUCAGAGGUGGUGGCUGGGUACCAACAGCAUUCACUACAGGCCUGCCUUGAAUACCACCUAACUCAGUGCUCCGCAUAUCACAGAUAUUGGAACAUCUCUAGAAAAGAUUGCCUUGUCUUAUGAAAAUUGCUUUUUUAAAAAAUCCUAAUUCCAACUGGUCAUCCUAGCAACUGAUACAAUAACUGACCUGCAAAAUGUUUCCCAAUGAUUCCUACCUCCUACUAUUCACACUCUUAUGUAGUUCCCUCCCACAUUGUACCAGGGUUGGACUGUGAGACUAAUAGAAUACAGUAGCAGUGAUAGAUGUCACUGCUGAGAUUAAAUAUAAUAAAAGGCACCUUGACUUCUAUC
rnacentral:antisense_RNA from 1 species